CCGUAGGUGAACUGCGGAAGGAUCAUUACCGAGUGAGGGCCCUCUGGGUCCAACCUCCCACCCGUGUUUAUUUUACCUUGUUGCUUCGGCGGGCCCGCCUUAACUGGCCGCCGGGGGGCUUACGCCCCCGGGCCCGCGCCCGCCGAAGACACCCUCGAACUCUGUCUGAAGAUUGUAGUCUGAGUGAAAAUAUAAAUUAUUUAAAACUUUCAACAACGGAUCUCUUGGUUCCGGCAUCGAUGAAGAACGCAGCGAAAUGCGAUACGUAAUGUGAAUUGCAAAUUCAGUGAAUCAUCGAGUCUUUGAACGCACAUUGCGCCCCCUGGUAUUCCGGGGGGCAUGCCUGUCCGAGCGUCAUUUCUGCCCUCAAGCACGGCUUGUGUGUUGGGCCCCGUCCUCCGAUCCCGGGGGACGGGCCCGAAAGGCAGCGGCGGCACCGCGUCCGGUCCUCGAGCGUAUGGGGCUUUGUCACCCGCUCUGUAGGCCCGGCCGGCGCUUGCCGAUCAACCCAAAU
rnacentral:rRNA from 1 species